rfam:Triticum aestivum genome assembly, contig: Triticum_aestivum_CS42_TGACv1_scaffold_581189_7BL
UAUAUACUCCCUCCGUUCCAAAAUAGAUGACUCAAUUUUGUAUUAAAGUUAGUACAAAGUUGGGUCAUCUAUUUUGGAACGGAGGGAGUAUAAU